rnacentral:tRNA from 1 species
AGGACAGUAGCUCAAUGGUAGAGCAUCGGUCUCCAAAACCGACGGCUGGGGGUUCGAGUCCCUUCUGUCCUGCCA